rnacentral:rRNA from 1 species
GGGCCCGCACAAGCGGUGGAGCAUGUGGUUUAAUUCGAUGCAACGCGAAGAACCUUACCAGGGCUUGACAUACUACAGACCCCUUUGAGAAAGGGGGUGCCUUCGGGAAUGUAGAUACAGGUGGUGCAUGGCUGUCGUCAGCUCGUGUCGUGAGAUGUUGGGUUAAGUCCCGCAACGAGCGCAACCCUUAUUUUUAGUUACUAAUCCGUUAGGUUCUCUAGAAAGACUGCCGGUGACAAACCGGAGGAAGGUGAGGAUGACGUCAAGUCAGCAUGCCCCUUAUGUCCUGGGCUACACACGUGCUACAAUGGUUAAGACAAAGAGUCGCGAGCUCGUGAGAGUCAGCUAAUCUCGUAAACUUUGCCUAAGUUCAGAUUGUAGGCUGCAACUCGCCUGCAUGAAGUUGGAAUCGCUAGUAAUCG